rnacentral:rRNA from 1 species
GUAUGUUGUCCAGCGGGAGGCAAAAUCACGAGCAUACUAGGGAAUAGCAUGGGGGUCGGACGGCUAGACUAGUCAGAGGGGGAGAGAGUGGGGGUGGCGUUCAAUGCAAUCGAGUAAAAUGAGUAGAGAAAUGGAGGAGGGGAAGUCAGGUAGCAAAGACACAUGCUCUGAUCAUACAGCAAGGCGGGGUGAGCAGCGAGGAAACAAAGAUAGGUUGGUAGGCCGCCCACUCAGACGAUGAAGGGUAGUUGGUGGGGAUUGGUUUCCUUAAUAAAGAAGCACGCGUAAAAAGUUAAUCGCCUGGGGAGUACGGUCGCAAGCUUAAUUCUCAAAGGAAUUGGCGGGGACCCCCACAAGCGGUAGAUGAUGUUGAUUAAUUCGAUGCAGCGCGAAAAACCUUACCUCCCCUUGACAUCCCACUAACGAAGCAGAGAUGCAUUAGGUGCUCGAAAGAGAAAGUGGACACAGGUGCUGCAUGGCUGUCGUCAGCUCGUGUCGUGAGAUGUUGGGUUAAGUCCCGCAACGAGCGCAACCCUUGUCUCUAGUUGCUACGAAAGGGCACUCUAGAGAGACUGCCGGUGACAAACCGGAGGAAGGUGGGGAUGACGUCAAGUCCUCAUGGCCCUUAUGGGUAGGGCUUCACACGUCAUACAAUGGUGCAUACAGAGGGUUGCCAAGCCGCGAGGUGGAGCUAAUCCCAGAAAAUGCAUCGUAGUCCGGAUCGUAGCCUGCAACUCGACUACGUGAAGCUGGAAUCGCUAGUAAUCGCGGAUCAGCAUGCCUGCGUUUCACCGCCCU